UGUUGUUUUCUCGAAAAUCAAUUAAAAAAGGCAGGAUUUUGUGUUGUAUUGACUUUAUCAGCUUUCUGCACUCUUUUCUUGUCUUUUUUAAUGCACUUUUCGUUUAACAAGUCAACAUCAAUUUCUUUUGUUGUAAAAGGGUCAUUGGAAGGUGGCUUUCUUUUCGGAGAAAGUGUUUAUAGCCUUUGGCCUCUGCAAUCGGAGAGAUUGAGGUCUGCAGCGUAGAUCCUUCGGGGUUAGAUACAUUUGUGCUAAGUUAUAGCCUUUCAUAGACAACUUGUUGACUAUGAUCAGUCAUGUAGCUUACUCGCUUAUGCUAUUUUACCUAC
rnacentral:rRNA from 1 species